UGCAAACUGCCUUGGGUAAAGCAUCCAAGCUGUAAUGCCUUUGGUAGAGAGAACAGCUGCUAGCCCAUGAAAAUCUGGAUUAUUUGCCUUCACACAAAAAGGUUUAUAAGAAGUGGCUAGAAAAGAAAAUAAACAGCAUAAAUCAGCUCAAGAGGAAAAUUUCAGAAACAAGCUGUUCAUCAAGUGCAUGGACUGGUCCAGAUGUAGUCAUAUUGAUAUUCUAAUCAAGCCUUUAAUCAGAUGCUGUGCUUCUAGUUGAAGAUGGGAAGCAAGGGAUCACAUAGCUUUUGAAGCGUGGGACUCAUGAAGAAUCUGGAUGCACGUCCCUCUGCAUUGCUUUGGCAUUUUAUUUCAUCCUUAGCUGUUGAGCAGCAGGUUCUGGGCUUGCAAGUGCCCUGGUUAUUCCUAUACUUCAGGUCUGGUUUUGCUUCCUGCACAAAAGGCCUGUGUCAAGUAGAAACAUUCUGAAUUGUAGGUUGAAACUUGGCAAUAGCAAAGCACCAAGUGCUUGGAUGAAGCUGUAUAGGUAGAAGAGGAUGGGUUGCUUGGAAAGAGAUGCUAAAAUUGGGGAAAAGAAUGAAGAAAUAUCAUCUGAGAAUAGCUGUGGAAGGACCAUAGCCAAAACUGUGGACUUUCCAAGUGUAGAUCAUUUGAAUCUUCUGGGGAUCCAGAAAGAGUCUCAGCUUCUGGCUCCAUCUCUGUAACUGUAAGACUAUGGGUUCAGAUCCAGACUUUUCAUCUGUUUCUUAUGUAUGUAAUAGCCUGAACCUUAAUCUUGGCCAUAACACCCUGAACUUUAGAGAAAACGGCAGUUGGGUCUUUGUUGUAGUUUUUAGAAAGCUGUUGUGGACUAGAGCAACGUCCUUGCAGUAAUGCUGAGAGGCUUAAUGUUCAGCAAGCAAGGGGUCAUGGCUCCAGAGUGCAUAAUGCCAUUCAAAAAUAUUGAAAAAUAGAAAAAAAAUUAGUUGUGUGCACACCCUCCUGCCUCCUUUGCCCUACCCCUGUGUAUUCACCUCCUGCCCUCUCCAAAAUGUUGUCUAAAUCAAUUUUUAAUACGCUGUGUUUGCUGAAACUGGUGUACUUGGUUGAAGAGAUAUACACAGUUCAGCCUAUCAGUCAGCACUCAUGUUUUUGACCUGAUAACCUAAUUUUUAUAACCAAUCUAGAACUACAUGGUGUUUUAAAAACCAUUCCAGAACUGCAUCCAGCAAUCAAACAGCUCUGUUGUAUGAAUAAAUGGGAAAAAGCUGUGUAAUGGUGCAAGAUGAUGCUCCUCCAAUCAUAGAAUAUCCUGAGGGGGAAGGUACCCACUAAGAUCAUCAAAGUCCUCCUCCUCCUCAGGGCACUCCAAUCGUACCAUGGGCCUGAGAGCAUUUUCCAAAAGCUUCUUGGACUCUGUCUGGUUUGGUGCUCUGACCACUUCCCUGGGGAGCCUGUUCCAACCCCGCUCUGUGUGAAAAACAUUUUCCUGAUAUCCAACCUAAACCUCCCCUGUCACAGCUUCAGGCCCUUGGUACUGGGAUUAUGCGAGAGACUGAGAGACAUUUUAAAGCAUGAUUUAUUGCUGUUUUCUUCAUCAGUCCCAGAGAGGGUGAGAAUGUCUUCACAUCAUUCAUCAGAGGUCACAAGAUCUCUAGCUACAAUGCCUUUCAAAAUUUAUUAGUCAAUAAACUACUGCCACAAAAUUUGUUAGUGUUUCCACACUAAUUGCUAAUUAUUUUGUUUUACAUGUUUUGCUGCAGAUCUUCUUUAGCAAUCAUAUAACACCCCACAAACCUACAGUACUACUACAUCUUAAAACUUCUUAUCACCUUUGUAACAAAUUCCCUAGCCAAACUUUUCUACUUUAAAACUUUCCACUACCUAGCUUAACAUGUUUCUACUUAAACUACAAAUCCACAUUCUUGCUUCUGGUCUGUGCAUCAGGAAGCCUUUUCCAAGGUCUCAAUCAAACCAUGUAUGCAUUUGGGUGUCUGGGCCUGCAGGACCCGAGGGUCCUGUCACUGGUCACACAGAGGACAUCAGUGUCCGCUCCUCAUCUUCCCCUCACAAGGAAGUUUCAAACUGCAGUGAUGUCUCCCCUAAGUCUCCUCUUCUCCAGGCUGAGCAGACCAGGUGACCUCAGCCACUCCUCAAAAAGCUUCCCCUCAAGGCCCUUCACAUCCUCAUGGCCCUCCUUUGGAUGCACUCUAACAGCUGGACGCCUUUUUUAUAUUGUCGCACCCAAAACUGCCCCCAGCACUGGAGGUGAGGCUGCCCCAGUGCAGAGCAGAGCGGGACAAUCCCCUCGCUUGCCCGACUGUGAUGCUGUGCCUGAUGCACCCCAGGGCAGGGCUGGCCCUCCUGGCUGCCAGGGCACUGCUGGCCCGUGUCCACCUCACCAUCAGCCCCGGGGCCCUCUCUGCAGUGCUGCCCUCCAGCCCCGUGUUCAGCAAAAUGUGACGCUGGAGAAUGCGGGCAUCGAUCCCGCUACCUCUCACAUGCUAAGCGAGCGCUCUACCA